CCCCACCAAGCCUCUGUUUGACAUGAGAGUAGGGAAUACGGAUGUAAAUAAACACUGCCUUUGGAUGAAAGGGGCCAUAUCAGGGCCUAUUCAAUAGUUGAUGGUUUCUUAUCUAAGUCUAUUCCACGGAGUUUUUUAGCUGCAGUUGCAUGGUUCAAGAAAGUAAAUGAGCAAAUGUAGAUACAUAUGGUACACACUUUGCACGAAAAAGUCUUCGUGAUCUGCAGGUAUUCUAAUUUAGAUAAAGGGGGGAAAUAAUAAAUUACAUGCAGAAAC
rnacentral:misc_RNA from 1 species